CCAACGGCCCUUUUCAGGGCCACCAAAUCGUUCGAAAAGAUGCCAU
rfam:Crassostrea gigas strain 05x7-T-G4-1.051#20 contig15301, whole genome shotgun sequence.